CUCGGCCCCUGUCUGGCUCCGGCUUCCAGAACUCGGCGGGCGGGAGAGAAUGCGGGGUGGGCGGGCCGGCCGCCAGGUGGCGCUCCUCGGCCGGUCUGGAACGGCGGGGCUUCGGGAGCUGCCGUUGGCCCUGCUCCCGGACCCUCGGUUCCUCCGCGCGCAGGGUCGGCCUGGGCAAAGGUUGUCGUUCUGAAAUCGUUUCGUGGAAUGCCGGUUUCUCCCCUUGCUUUUCUCUCACUGCUGUGUUCCCAGGAGCUCCCAGUCCCGCUCUGAUCUUUCCUGCCUCUAGUCAGGACCUGAAGGAGAAAAAAGAGAAGGUGGAGGAGAAGGCAAGCCGGAAAGAGCGAAAGAAAGAAGUGGUGGAGGUGUGGAGGGGACCGGUGCGGGUGCGGGCGGGUGCUGGCGCUGGAGACUCGGAGCCCCUCUCCCACCUUCCACUUACCUGGGGGCGGGUCCUGCCUGGGCUCUGGCCCCGCCCACCCGCCCCGCCCCUCAGGAGGCCCUCCCCGUGCCCCCUGACCCCGCCUGACCCCGCUCCUUCUUCGGCUUCCCGCAGGAAGAGGAGAACGGAGCCGAGGAGGAAGAAGAAGAAACUGCCGAGGAUGGAGAGGAGGAAGAUGAAGGGGAAGAAGAAGAUGAGGAAGAAGAAGAAGAUGACGACGAAGGGCCCGCGCUGAAGAGAGCUGCUGAAGAGGAGGAUGAAGCGGAUCCCAAGCGGCAGAAGACAGAAAAUGGGGCAUCGGCAUGAGCCCCCCUGCAGUUGGGCUGGGGGUGGGAGGCCCCUCAAGGGCCUGGAGGUGGGAGUGGGAACAGACGAGUGCAGCCACUCUUCACCUGGCUCCUGGCUCUGGACACUGCACCAGAGCUGCCACCCUCUUUGCCCCCAGCCUUUCUCAUGUCCGCCUCUCCAGACACUGCCCCUUCCAUCCUUACUCUGCCAUUGUUCCACCUCCCGACCUGCUCCAUCUGAGCUCCCCAGCUGGUCCCUAAUUGCUCCUUUCCCUGUCUUUACUCUCCUCCUCUCUCCCCAUUCCCUCUGG
rnacentral:lncRNA from 12 species